rnacentral:rRNA from 1 species
GACGAACGCUGGCGGCGUGCUUAACACAUGCAAGUCGAACGGAAAGGCCUCUUUCGGGGGGUACUCGAGUGGCGAACGGGUGAGUAACACGUGAGUAACCUGCCCUUGACUUUGGGAUAACUUCAGGAAACUGGGGCUAAUACCGGAUAGGAGCUCCUGCUGCAUGGUGGGGGUUGGAAAGUUUCGGCGGUUGGGGAUGGACUCGCGGCUUAUCAGCUUGUUGGUGGGGUAGUGGCUUACCAAGGCUUUGACGGGUAGCCGGCCUGAGAGGGUGACCGGCCACAUUGGGACUGAGAUACGGCCCAGACUCCUACGGGAGGCAGCAGGGGGGAAUAUUGCACAAGGGGUGGAAGCCUGAUGCAGCAACGCCGUGUGCGGGAUGACGGCCUUCGGGUUGUAAACCGCUUUCGCUCAUGACGAAGCUUUGUGUGACGGUAGUGGGUAAAGAAGCACCGGCUAACUACGUG